GCGACCUUACGGUGGCCGAGAAAGCCCAACGCUGUGCAAAUUGAAAAGCAAAAAGCAGAAAAUACAUCCAUCAAAAUCACUGCAAAUCGAGAAACGCGCUUCAAAUACAACCACAACACAACGGAAUUUUCCCGGGGGACCUUAAAAGAUGCUGUACCAUCUAAACUACGUCUUCAGUAGCGUCUCGGACUUCACUGUGUGUACAGAGGACUAUAAAUGGCAAACAAGCUUCUGAAAAGUCAUGUUUUGCCCAUUUUGUGGAAAUGCUUUGGAGGAUAUUGGGACAUUCUGUCUGUCCUGUGGUGGGAAUAUUCCAUUUUUAAGAAAUGUUCAAAAUGAACCUGUAUCUGAAGACCACCUAGAGGAUGAGCUAAUUCAUAAGUAUUUCAAAGUAUGA
rnacentral:lncRNA from 1 species